UACGUAGGUGGCAAGCGUUGUCCGGAUUUACUGGGCGUAAAGAGCGCGCAGGCGGCCAAGUCAGUCGAAUGUGAAAGCCCCCGGCUCAACUGGGGAGGGUCAUUCGAUACUGCUCGGCUCGAAGACAGGAGAGGGAAGUGGAAUUCCCGGUGUAGUGGUGAAAUGCGUAGAUAUCUGGAGGAACACCGGUGGCGAAGGCGGCAUCCUGGACCGAUAUUGACGCUGAUGCGCGAAAGCCAGGGGAGCAAACGGGG
rnacentral:rRNA from 1 species